ensembl:snRNA U6 U6 spliceosomal RNA
GUGUUCGCUUCAGCAGCACAUAUACUAAAAUUGGAAUGAUACAGAGAAGAUUAGCAUGGCCCCUGCGCAAGGAUGACAUGCAGAAUCAACAUACAGAAAAUCUAUAU